UCCGGCUUAUCACCGGCAGUUUCCCUAGAGUGCCCAGCCUAACCUGAUGGCAACUAAGGAUGAGGGUUGCGCUCGUUGCGGGACUUAACCCAACAUCUCACGACACGAGCUGACGACAGCCAUGCAGCACCUGUGCACCUCCCACCCGAAGUGAAGGAUUCCGUUUCCGGUAUCCAUAGAGGGCAUGUCAAGGCCUGGUAAGGUUCUUCGCGUUGCGUCGAAUUGAACCACAUGCUCCACCGCUUGUGCGGGUCCCCGUCAAUUCCUUUGAGUUUUAAUCUUGCGACCGUACUCCCCAGGCGGGAUGCUUAAUGCGUUAGCUUCGCCACUGAGCCCUACGGGCCCAACAGCUAGCAUCCAUCGUUUACGGCGUGGACUAC
rnacentral:misc_RNA from 1 species